rnacentral:lncRNA from 1 species
UGGGUCAAAUGGUGAUUCCAUUCCCAGCUUUCCGAGGUGUCUCCAUACUGCUUUCCAAAUUGGCUGCACCAAUUUGCAGUCCCACCAGCAAUGUACAAGUGUACCCUUUUCCCCACAUCCUCGCCAGCACUUGUUGUUGUUUGACUUCAUAAUGGCUGCCAAUCUUACUGGAGUGAGAUGGUAUCUUAGGGUGGUUUUGAUUUGCAUUUCUCUGACUGCUAGAGAUGGUGAGCAUUUUUUCAUGUGCUUGUUGAUUGAUUGUAUGUCCUCCUCUGAGAAGUGUCUGUUCAGGUCCUUGGCCCAUUUGUUGAUUGGGCUAUUUGUUAUCUUAUUGUUCAUUUUUUUGAGUUCUUUGUAUACUCUGGAUAUUAGGGCUCUAUCUGAAGUGUGAGGAGUAAAAAUUUGUUCCCAGAAUGUAGGCUCCCUAUUUACCUCUCUUAUUAUUUCUCUUGCUGAGAAAAAAUUUUUUAGUUUGAGUAAGUCUGAUUUGUUAAUUCUUGUUUUUAACUCUUGUGCUAUGGGUGUCCUAUUAAGGAAUUUGGAGCCGGACCCCACAAUAUGUAGAUUAGAGAUUUGAUAGCUCAUUUCCUUUUUUCAGUGAAUAAUACAGCAUUGCAUUGGUAUACCUGUUUAUCCAUUUACCUGUUAAAGAAUUUUAUGGUUGCUUCCUAUUUAGGGGGAAGUUAUGAAUAAAGUCGCUAUGAACAUUCAAGUGCAGGUUUUUAUGUGAACAAGUUUUCAAUUCAUUUGGGCAAAUAUCAAGGAGCAUGGUUGCUGGAUCACGGUACUGAGAUAUAUUUGGCUUUGUAAGAAACUGUCGGACUCUCUUCCAAAAUGACUGUAUCAUUUUUCCAUCCCACCAUCAGUGAAUGAGAAUUGCUCUUACACCUUCUUGCCAGCAUUUGGUAUUGUCAAUGUUUUGGAUUUUCAAUAUUGUUGUAGUUUGAUUCUGAAAUGUACUCCAGUGCCAUCUGCAUCCAGCACAGCCGGCUAACUCAAGGUCACUCAGGGGAAAUUCCCAAGGCAUUAGAAAUAAAACACAGACACACAAUUUACCUUUAAACCAAGCUCCAGAACGGGAGAGACAGGAACUACAGGAGAGGCUGGCAAGAGAGCAAGCACUCUUUUAUUAGGGAAAUCUAAAUUCUUAGGAAAUCCUAUCCAAUGAAAGUGAAGGGGGGCAGGGUUACAAGGACAGGUGAGGUGAUUGGAUCCCUGGAUAUGUGGAGAGACACACCCCUGCAGGAAGACAGUCUCUGGAAUCCUAGAAGACCCAGGCUAACCAGCAGCGUGACAGCCACCGGAUGCCACACCGCUCAGCAGGGGAGUCAGACCUAGUCAGUGCUGGAUUGGUCUCCCACACCCCAGAAGUUUGCCUGUUGAAGGCUUGGUCCCAGCUGGUGGCACAGCUGGGAGGUGGUGGAGACUUGGGGAGAUGGAGCCUAGAUGGAGGAGGUGGGUCACUGGGGCAUAUCCUUGACCAGUAUAUCUUGUCCCACUCCCCCCCCCCCGCCCCCUUCCUGGCUGCUAAGAAGUAAGUGGCUUUACUCUGCCACAUCCUCCCCACCAGCCAUGAUAUUCUAC